UGCUGAGUUUUGGUGUUCGCCGGGUAGAGGGUGAGGGGGAGGGAGGAGCAGGACGCCUGGAGCUCGAGCCCCACCUUUCAUUCCUGCACUGAGCCCCGGGCCAGCGGCAUGACUCAACGGGCGCUCAGAUUCCCAUAGGUGAGGGACUUGGCUCUUUCCCCCCCGCGAGAACGCCGUGCCUGCUCCCAGAGUGGCCGUGAGUGUGUCGGCGCGCCCCGUCUGCCCGGUCUGGUCUCUGGAGGCCAGCCUGGGUUUCCCUCAUGUAUGGCAAGAACCCCACGCGCGUGUUUUUGCUACUCCUUGGCUUACAGCUCACAGCUCACUGGCCUACGGCGGCAGCUGUGGAAAUUUACACCUCCCGGGUGCUGGAGGCUGUUAACGGGACUGAUGCACGCUUAAAAUGCACUUUCUCCAGCUUUGCCCCCGUGGGCGACGCGCUCACGGUGACCUGGAAUUUUCGUCCUCAGGAUGGAGGGCCAGAGCAGUUUGUAUUCUACUACCAUGUGGAUCCCUUCAAGCCCAUGAGCGGGCGGUUCAAGGACCGGGUGGCUUGGGACGGGAACCUUGAGCGCUAUGAUGUCUCCAUCUUGCUCUGGAAGCUGCAGUUCGAUGACAAUGGGACGUACACCUGCCAGGUGAAGAACCCACCUGAUGUGGAUGGGCUGAUCGGGGAGAUCCGGCUGAGCGUCGUGCACACUGCACGCUUCUCUGAGAUGUACUUCCUGGCUCUGGCCAUUGGCUCAGCCUGUGGACUGAUGAUCAUCAUUGUGAUCGGGGUGGUCCUCUUCCAGCAUUUCCGGAAAAAACGAUGGGCCGAGGAAGCUAAUAAAGUGGUGGAGAUACACUCAAAAGAAGAGGAAAGGCUCAACCAAGCAAAAAAGGUGUCAGUGUAUUUGGAAGAUAUAGAUUAACAUUCCUAGAAGGAGAUUCAGAUGUGGAGUUCCGGUUCCAGGCCUCCAUCUGGCCCAGAUCUUACAGUUGCAGGAAGCUGAAGGUUUCCAAGAACAAGAUUCCUGGUAGUCCUGGAAGUUAAUGGAAACACAGCUUUGGCUUUUCCCUUGUGACCUGUUUUCUAACCAGUCCUGCAUCAGAGAACCACCUAGAUAAGCAACAGGUGCCUGGAGACUCUCCAGGACUCUUCCUGAACAAACACCACCAGAUUCACAAGCCUCACGGAGAAGGUUUUAUUUGACUGCAGAGCACACAUAUUGCUCAAAUGCUCAGUAGCUUUUGAAAACUGAGAAGCCACUUUUUUGUUCCUAAUCUUGAUCCUUCAGGAUUAUGACUUAUGUACCCAUUUAUUAACAGUCAAUCCUAAACUCAAAUUGUCAAAGCAGCAGCUGGAUUUUUAUGGUUCACCUUUAGCAGGGAACACAACUUUUACUGGAUUUCUUCCAACGUCUCAGGCGACAGGUUUUGUUUCUGUUGGUCACUCCAAGGCUUACAAUAGCACGAAGUCCAAAUUACAUAACAACUACACAGAGUUCCGGACAGGAUUAUAGCCGGGCAAAUGGCACUUCAGGAUGACUCAUUUGUCACCUUUUGUCUGUGUUGUGGAAAGUAAUCAAGAGCAGAGAUUCUUUUGUUGACAGAGGUUCACUAUGUCUCCCUGCCUCGACUGAAUGAUCUACAACAGAUCCAAGUCUGUGUUCAUUUGCACUCUGGAAUCAUUCGGGAGUCGCACAGAAGGCUUCUGAAGUACUGUAUUAUGUGCUCAGAAAACUGAGGGUGAGGGCUGGUGGUGAAAAAAACCCAACUCCUAAGUGAUGAUCUUGCACAGUCGUUCACAAACCUCUAACUGGAAGAGAUGAUUUACAUUCCUCUCUUUUUUUUUUUUGUAUCAAAACUACUUUAAUGGAAUGAAUUUUAUUCUUUGUUCCUUUAAAUUCUUAGGUAAAGCAGUCUGUCAGUUGGCUAACAAACAGUACCAUUUACAAAGUGCCUAGUUUCUUUCUAAACUUAAACUACAGCAACAUUUAUUUAAAAGAUAGAAAGUAUCUGAAAAUUUUAAGGGCUUGAUCCAUUCUUAAAGCUUAGUAUUUUCAGUUUUUACUUCUCUUUUUUACUGGCUGGACUGCAGCUGUUAUGUCUUAUUAAUGAACUAGAAUUUUCAAAUAGAUUAUCUGUAGUUAAAGGUGCUGGGCCUUGAUUUGUUUUCCAAUAGUAUGUUUUU